UCAGGACGAACGCUGGCGGCGUGCUUAACACAUGCAAGUCGAACGAUGAAGCCUUUCGGGGUGGAUUAGUGGCGAACGGGUGAGUAACACGUGGGCAAUCUGCCCUGCACUCUGGGACAAGCCCUGGAAACGGGGUCUAAUACCGGAUGAUACUUUUCCCUGCAUGGGGAAGGGUUGAAAGCUCCGGCGGUGCAGGAUGAGCCCGCGGCCUAUCAGCUUGUUGGUGGGGUGAUGGCCUACCAAGGCGACGACGGGUAGCCGGCCUGAGAGGGCGACCGGCCACACUGGGACUGAGACACGGCCCAGACUCCUACGGGAGGCAGCAGUGGGGAAUAUUGCACAAUGGGCGAAAGCCUGAUGCAGCGACGCCGCGUGAGGGAUGACGGCCUUCGGGUUGUAAACCUCUUUCAGCAGGGAAGAAGCGAAAGUGACGGUACCUGCAGAAGAAGCGCCGGCUAACUACGUGCCAGCAGCCGCGGUAAUACGUAGGGCGCAAGCGUUGUCCGGAAUUAUUGGGCGUAAAGAGCUCGUAGGCGGCUUGUCACGUCGGUUGUGAAAGCCCGGGGCUUAACUCCGGGUC
rnacentral:rRNA from 1 species